CCAAAGCUACUUCCGGUGAAAGGCCGCGUUGGUUUAUUGUCCAGGUUUCCAGACUGGAGCAUCCAUUUGUGGGGAAGCAGCGUGGAGGCCUGGGUUGAGUCUUGCAUUCUAAACGCGGCCUGGAACUAAUAGAAGCUCCUGGCCACGGAUGUGAACAACUGUGAAGGCGAUGGUUUUUGCCCAGGGAAAGGAUGUGGGCCCGGGGCCAAGGCCUGUGAAUUGAGAUCGUGAGAUCUCUGAAAGGCUGUCCAUGCUCUGACUGCAUUUUCCAAUGUCCAUCAUAGCCGAAGCAGCUUCCUGUCCGCACACUGGCCCUUUGAGGACCAUAGGAAGGCUUGCGCCCGAGUCCCUGCGGAACAUUUUUGAAGGGACCGCAGGGUCAGCUCUGCUUUCUCAAGACUGUGCUUCACCAGGAGAGGAAUCUAGAAGACUGAUUGAGUCUUAGAAUUUUAAGUCAUGGCCCAUCAGUUGAUGAUGUUCAGGGAUAUAGCUGUAGACUUCUCUCAAGAGGAGUGGGAGUGCCUGGACUUGGAACAGAGACAUUUGUACAGAGAUGUGAUGUUGGAGAACUACAGCAACAUGAUCUCACUGGGACUUUGCAUUUAUCAGCCAGAUGUAUUCUCUUUACUGGAGAAGGGAAAAGAGCCCUGGAUAUUUUUACAGGAUGAGACAAGAGGACAUUGCCCAGACAUGCCAUUCAGAUGUCAAACCAAGGAGUUAUCACAAAAAAGUGUUACUUUUGAGAGAGAAUUAUCUCAAUUGGAAAUCUGUAAAAAACACAACCUUGAAUAUUCAUGUUUUAGGGCUGAUUGGGAAAGCAAAGGUCAGUUUGAAACACAACAGGAAAAUCAGGAAGAAUGUUUAAAGCAAGUUAUACUCACCGAUGAAAAAAUGUCCACUUUUAACCAUCACACAGCUCACAGACUUGAUACAGGAAAGAAACUGAAUGAAUUUAAAGAGUGUGCGAAAGCCUUUUGUUCUGGCUCGGACUGUGAUCAACAUCAAUUAAUUCACACUGGUGAGAGAUUUUGUGAAGAUAAAGAAUAUGAGAAGACCUUUCUUUCUGAUUCAGAACUUACUCAAUAUCAGACAGUACACUCUGCCAAGAAAACAUAUGAAUGUAAAGAAUGUGGGAAGGCUUUUAGUUUGCGUUCAAGUCUUACUGGUCACAGGAGGAUUCAUACUGGUGAAAAACCUUUUAAAUGUAAGGAAUGUGGGAAGUCCUUUAGAUUUCAUUCACAACUUAGUGUUCAUAAGCGUAUUCAUACUGGUGAGAAAUCUUAUGAAUGUAAACAAUGUGGGAAAGCCUUUAGUUGUGGCUCAGAUCUUACACGACAUCAGAGAAUUCAUACCGGUGAAAAACCUUAUGAAUGUAAUGAAUGUAGAAAGGCCUUUAGUCAGCGAUCACAUCUUACUAAACAUCAGAGAAUUCACACUGGUGAAAAACCUUAUGAAUGUAAGCAGUGUGGAAAAGCGUUUACUCGUGGUUCACACCUAACUCAACAUCAGAGAACUCAUACUAGUGAGAAAUCUCAUGAAUGUAAGGAAUGUGGAAAAGCCUUUAUUCGUGGUUCAAAUCUUAUUCAACAUCAGAAUGUUCAUGUUGGUAGGAAACCCUAUGAAUGUGAGAAAUGUGGAAAAGCCUAUAUCUGGAGUUCACACCUUGCUAGACAUCAACGAAUUCAUAAUGGUAGGAAACCUUAUGAAUGUAAGCAAUGUGGGAAGACAUUUAUUUGGGCCUCCUAUCUUGCUCAACAUGAGAAAAUUCAUAAUGAGAGGAAACUCUAUGAAUGUAAGGAAUGUAGAAAGACCUUUCGUCAUGGCUCAGAGUUUAAUCGGCAUCAAAAAAUUCAUACUGGUGAAAGAAACUAUGAAUGUAAACAAUGUGGAAAGACCUUUUUUCGUGGUUCAGAACUUAAUCGACAUCAGAAAAUCCACACUGGAAAGAGACCAUAUGAAUGUGAAGAAUGUGGAAAAGCCUUUCUCUGGGGUUCACAACUUACUCGACAUCAGAGAAUACAUACUGGUGAGGAACCUUAUGUAUGUAAAGAAUGUGGGAAAUCUUUUAUCUGGGGUUCACAGCUUACACGACAUAAGAAAAUUCAUACUGAUACAGAAUCAUAUGAAUGUAAAGAAAGUAGCCAGAUCUUUAGUCCCCAUCCAUAUUUUACUGAACAGAAAAUUCACAAUGGUGAGAAUCUCUAUCAAUGGAAAGACUAUAGGAACACCUUUAGUCAGGACUCAGACUUUGCUCAACAUCAGGAUAUUUACACUUUUGAGAAAUCCUAUGAAUGUAAAAAUUUUGAGACAUUUUCUCCAAGCUCUCAUCUUAUUUCACUCUUGUGAGGUCUUCUAAUAUAAAAAUAUAGGAAGUCUUUAUUCAUAAUUCCUUAAUUGAUGUCAGUUAAUUCCUUCUUUUGAGGAACUCACAAGUAUAAGUAAUAUUGGAAGAACAUUUGACAGAGCACACAACACACUAAAUAGCAGAGAAUUCAUAAUGCAAUCUAUAUUAAUAUAGGAAAGCAUUUACUGAUUGGUUUUCCAUUUGGAAUAUCAGGGUAAAACCCUAUGAAAAAGAUGACACUGUGAUUCUCUUGAAUCAUUCUUAAAAGCAUUCUCCACAUCAUUGAUACUACUCUGCAUAGAAUUUAAAUCUAACUCACAUAGGGAAACCUUCCAUUCCUAUUCAAUUUUGUUACAGUUCCACAAAAUUAUACCAAAGGUGAAUUUCUGUUACGUAAUUAAUCUUGGGAAGCCUUGAGCUGUGUCAUGCAGUUUAUUUGGCAUGUCUUAGUUUCCACACCUCUUAUCUUUGUGUUUUUUGGAAAGUAACUUGAAUCUGUGUUUCCUUAUUUGAUUACAAGGGUUAAAUGAGCUUGAUGACUUCAAUGACUUAAUAGCCAUCAUUAAUAUUAGUGUUAGACAGCUUCUAUGAGAGGAAGACCUUAACAAUAUAAUAAAUGUAGACAAAUAUGCCAUUUAUAUGUGUGUCUUAUCGAACAGCAGGAUGCUAAUUCUGAAGAAAAACCAGUCAAACGGAAGGGAAGAAAGCUUUGAAUCAGUAUUAAAUUCAUUUGCUGCAUAAAAAAAUUCAUACUAUAAAGAAAGCCUUAUGGUUUUAAUGAAAGUGGAGUUGUUGAAUGCUCACCAGUGGUUUUUUUUUUUUUUUUGUUUUGUUUUUAAAGGCAUUUAGAAAUGAUUUGUCCCUAACAGAUUUCUAAAGCCAAAUGUCAUAUCCAUUUUAUCACCACAAUGACAAUUUAUUUUUUUUUAAGUUUAUUUAUUUUGAGAGAGAAAGCAUGAGCAGGGUAGGGGCAGAGAGAGAGAGAGAGAGAAUCUCAAGCAGGCUCCCCACUGUCAGCAAGAGCCCAAUGUGGGGCUCAAUCUCAUGAACUGUGAGAUCAUGACCUGAGCGAAAAUCAAGAGUCAGAUGCUUAACUGACUAAGCCACCCAGGUGCCCCUGAAAUUCAGAAAUUAGAAAAUAGCCAAAUGAAUUCUGAUCUCUUGGAAAUUUAACACUACAUUUAUAAAUUAUCAAAGUAAUGAGCAAAUCAAAAGUGAAAUUACAGGCUUAUUUAGAUGUGAAUGAUAACAAAACUCCUAUAUGUCAAAUCCUAUGAACAUGACCAUGGCAGCUCUCGAUGGAAAUUACUCUUAUGUAUAUAACAAAGAAAAUUGAGGGAAAUUUACUUCUUGUCACCACUGUAUUUCCAGCACUUAUAACAGUGCCUGUCAUAUUGUAGAGUCCAAGUAUUUGUCAAAUUAAAUAAUGAUUACUUAACAAGCUAAAGUAAGAGCUGAUGCCCCAAUGGGCAUUUGAAUUGAUAGAAAUGUGUUUUUUUCUUAAUUUUUUUAAUGUUUAUUUAUUUUGAGAGAGUGUGUGUGAGCAGGGGAGGGACAGAGAGAGUAGGAGAGAGAAAGAAUCCCGAGCAGUCUCUGCACUGCCAGAGCAGAGCCUAAGGUGGGGCUUAAACUCACAAACCAUGAGAUCAUGUCCUGAGCCAAGAUCAAGAGUCAGAUGUUUAACCGACUGAGCCACCCAGGUGCCUCUGAAUUGAUGGAAAGCUUUAUUUAACGAAAAUAAAGAAAAAUUCAUGGAAUAAAUAACAAUACAGAAGGUUUUUUAUUUUAAGUCAAAACGUUUCUUGGUAGCAAUGCCUUAACAUUAUCAUAAGAAAGGAGAAAUGUGGUACAUGUUUUAGAGGGUAUUUUUAAUGACAAUAUGAAGAGAUAUAAACCUUACUAGAAACAAAUUUUAAAUAGAAUAUAGUUUGUUUUCUAGGAAAAUAAAUUAUUAAAUUUCAAGAGUAACUAAAAGGGGCCAAAAAAUUUAAGUUAGAAAAAAUAAUCUUUAUAACUCAUGUAGGAGUACAGGCUGCUCCCUGAAGAAACAAAAUCCUAUGGAAAAAUUGCUAGCAGAUGCUAAAAGACUAACGUAAUUCUGAUAACAAAAUUAGAUGUGGAGUAGCCCUUGAACGACAAAUUCCAGAAGAAUUUUACUCAUGAACAUACAUGACAAAAACUAAUACAGGGGCACCUGGGUGGCUCAGUCAGUUAAGCAUCUGUCUUUGGCUCAGGUCAUGAUCUCACAGUUCAGAAGUUCAAGCCCCAUAUCAAGCUCUGUGCAGAAAGUGCGAUGCCUGUUUGGGAUUCUCUUCUCCCUGUCUUUCUGCCUCUCCCCCACUUGUGCUCACUCCCUCUUUCUCUCUAAAAACAAAAACAAAAAACUAAUACAAUAGUCAAAUGAUGUUUACCCAGAAUGUUUAAACUCUGACCUGGAUAGGUGAUAAUUCUGUAGUUUAUGCAUAACAGCAAGGUGUAUCGUUGAUGAAGAUGUACUUUACCAGUUCAGCACUUAAUUUAUUCUAAGAGUAUUUUCUUCAUACCUUUUAGUAUUACAUAAGUCAAAGAAUAUUGAGUUUAUGUACAUGUAUGUAGCACAUAAUUCAGUUCUUUAACAGUAGUUAAACAGUAUUAGGGAACAUACUUCCCUCUGAAAUUAUUGUCUUCUGUGGAAUUUCUCAACUCGUGGGGAAAGUGAAAUUUUUUUGUUAUAUUACUUUAUUGUAAUAAACCAGCCAUUUUCAUUCAUGCUGACUAUUUUUGUUAAGGUGAUGAUUACAUUGAGAAAUGUAACAGCUUUCUGGACGUCCAUAUACAGAUAACUAUGGCCAUUCCUUUUUCUUUUGGCCUAGACUUCUGUGUUGAGUUUAGUAUCAGUGUGCAUAUCUGGUGCUCUUGUCUCCUUCAUUGUGAAUUCCUGGAUCUCCUUGAAUGCCUGAGGGAGUGAUCUUCAGAGUAUCUUAAAUGAAAAAGAGGUAGGUGCAGAAUAUGUUUAUUAUACUAAUAUUUGUGAAAGAAGAGGGGGAUACUAUAUAUACCUGUACUUUAAAAAAGAAAUCUCGGGGCGCCUGGGUGGCUCAGUAGAUUAAGUGUCCGACUUCAGCUCAGGUCAUGAUCUCAUGGUUCAUGAGUUUGAGCCCCACAUCAGACUCUGUGCUGACAGCUCAAAGCCUGGAGCCUGCUUCAGAUUCUGUGUCCCUCUCUCUUUGCCCCUUCCCUGUUCACACUCUGUCUCUGUCUCUCAAAAAUAAAUAAACAUUGAGGAAAAAAAAAAAAAAGGAAUCUCAAGAUGAAACAACAGGGGAGGGCAAGGGUGAAAGGUUUAUCUUUGGUUAUACCUUCUUUUUGUUUUGACUUUGGAUCCAUGUAGAUAUUUUACAUAUCAGCUUUUAUUUUAAAAAUUAAGUCAAAAAGGAAAAUAAACCUGUAUCAAAACCAGUGGAUUUGAUUCUACAUCAUGUUCUGAUAUAACAACAUAAAGAAUAAUAAUUUCAAACGGUGUUAAAAUAUUUUGACUUACCAUUAGGAGAAUAUGUCAAAGAUAAUUCUGUAUCUCAAGCACAAAGAGAAAUAUGAAGAAAUCUAAACUGCCUUUAUUAGUCUUUUGUUAGUGGUAAUAUUGGUAUUAUUUUUCUACCUAAGGGGUUUAUUUAUUUUUUUAAGUAGGCUCCAUGCCCUAUGUGGGGCUUGAACUCAUGAUCCUGAGAUUGAGAGUUGCAUGCUCUACCAACUUAGUCAGCCAGGCACCCCUACUAAAGGGUUUAAAAACAUUAGUGACCUAGAAGCUAUGAGUUGCCCAUGUAUCCAGACUGUAGUUUUCAAAUUCCAUUUUCUAUAAAAAGAAAAAGUUCUCCUUAGAGAAAUGGCAUAAGACAGGUCAACAGUAGAAAAUGUAUAUAUAAUUAUCAUAAAAUGUCUUAUUGUACCUAAAAGCAAUAAAGCUAUCAAAGACUACAGGAUCAUUAACCUAAAGGAACUGACCAAAGAUAGGAUCAGUUAAACAUCAGAAACUAUUGCAAUGGGUUGAAACUGUGUAGGUAAAACUGCCUAAAUUCAAAAUGAAAAAAAAAGGGGGGGGGGGUUUAUGGAGUUUGCCAGAGUACUAGCAUAUUCUGAAAUUUUGGUAAGGAACAGAACAGAAUUUUGGUAAGGAACCAAAUUUCCUUUGGUAAGGAACAGAACCAAGUAUUUAUCAUGAUUUUUCUGUACAAGCUGUAAUCAAAUAGUUGGCAAGAGGAGGUUCAGAAAUGACAGACUUAGAAAGUUACAUUUGGCAUCAUUUAAUAAAAUAAUGGAAUUGGCAACAAUUCAUAAUGGGUUAUUGGGAAUUUCAGAAGAUAACAAUAAGGUUGACAACACUUCAGUUGGCCAAUCUUAAGACUAAAUUGGAACAACAUGGUAUUAAUAUGCCUCGUGUGAUGCCAUAGGAAGUAGGAAGUACUACCUAAGUUAUAUUUCCCAACACUGAAUCUUAAUCUACUUUAACCUCCAGAUCUAAUUACCAAUUUAUAGGAAAUAAAAUGAAUUUAAAAACUUGUGAGUAGUAUGUGAAGGUCACGAAUUGGCCAAAUCAGAAUGUGGAAAAUUCUAUGGGACAAAUUGCCAAGUUUCUUCAGUAAAUGAGUGGCAUGGUAAGGAGGGAGAAAUAUGAACUGCCUUAGUUCAAAAGAGACUUAAAGGUAACAUCAACCAGAUUCAGAGUGUGGAACAUUCUUGAGUCCAGACUUG